GGCAGAAUGGUGUAGUGAUUUGAGUGAUGGACUACGACUCUAGAAGCCCAGGGUUCAAAUCCCCACUCAGCCA